rnacentral:sRNA from 1 species
UGCAGCUCCACUAUGUGGGGGUUUGUAGGGCUUUAUGUUGGUGCACUGAGAAUCCCAUGCUGCUAGUAGGGGCAAGGGGUCGUGUGGUUUGGGGCUGGGGCUGAGCUGACCUAGCCGGGACUGGGCUGUGCUUUAGGUCCAGGUAACAUAAGCCAUCUUACGUUACGUAAGCUCAUGGUCUAUUUCAGUGGAGGACGUGAGAUAUGGGUCCGUGGCCAGAAUCUGGACGUGGUACAGACGCCAAGAAUCCGGGUGACCGUGGUCUCGAGAAUGCUGCAGCCCAGCCAGGGGCUUGGACGGAGGCGUCGCGUGGUCCCGGAGACGGCGUGUUCCCUAGGACCCUCCUGCAGUGGCCAGCAAUUUGAGGAGCCAUGCCAUGUCAACUCCUCCCAGCUCAUCACGUGCCACACACCUGCCCUGCCAGGCCUGCCUGAGGACCCCUGGGUCCAGGUGGAAUUUAUCCUUGACAACCUGGUCUUUGACUUUGCAACACUGAACCCCACACCUUUCUCCUACGAGGCCGACCCCACCCUGCAGCCACUCAACCCUGAGGACCCCACCAUGCCGUUCCGGCACAAGCCUGGGAGUGUGUUCUCCGUGGAGGGGGAGAACCUGGACCUUGCAAUGUCCAAGGAGGAGGUGGUGGCUAUGAUAGGGGACGGCCCCUGUGUGGUGAAGACACUGACGC